UACGGAGGAUCCAAGCGUUAUCCGGAUUUAUUGGGUUUAAAGGGUGGGUAGGCGGCUUAUUAAGUCAGGGGUGAAAGACGGUGGCUCAACCAUCGCAGUGCCUUUGAUACUGAUGAGCUUGAAUACACUUGAGGUAGGCGGAAUGUGACAAGUAGCGGUGAAAUGCUUAGAUAUGACACAGAACACCGAUUGCGUAGGCAGCUCACUAAACUAUAACUGACGCUGAGGCACGAAAGCAUGGGGAUCAAACAGG
rnacentral:rRNA from 1 species